GAUGAACGCUGGCGGCGUGCCUAAUACAUGCAAGUCGAGCGAACAGAUGAGGAGCUUGCUCCUCUGACGUUAGCGGCGGACGGGUGAGUAACACGUGGAUAACCUACCUAUAAGACUGGGAUAACUUCGGGAAACCGGAGCUAAUACCGGAUAAUAUCUUGAACCGCAUGGUUCAAUAGUGAAAGACGGUUUUGCUGUCACUUAUAGAUGGAUCCGCGCCGCAUUAGCUAGUUGGUAAGGUAACGGCUUACCAAGGCAACGAUGCGUAGCCGACCGGAGAGGGUGAUCGGCCACACUGGAACUGAGACACGGUCCAGACUCCUACGGGAGGCAGCAGUAGGGAAUCUUCCGCAAUGGGCGAAAGCCUGACGGAGCAACGCCGCGUGAGUGAUGAAGGUCUUCGGAUCGUAAAACUCUGUUAUUAGGGAAGAACAAAUGUGUAAGUAACUAUGCACGUCUUGACGGUACCUAAUCAGAAAGCCACGGCUAACUACGUG
rnacentral:rRNA from 1 species